rnacentral:lncRNA from 12 species
ACAGGGACAGUGACAGUGAUGCUGCCACCCCUGGGGGACAGGGAGAGGGGACACUGACACUGAGGGGGUACAGGGACAGGGGACACUGCCACCCCUGGGGCACAGGGACACCCCUGGGGGACGCCUGGGGGACAGGGAGAGGGGACACUGCCACCCCUGGGGGACAGCGACACCCCUGGGGGACAGGGACAGGGACAGGGACACCCCUGGGGGACAGGGACAUUGGGACACUGCCACCCCUGGGGUACAGGGACAGGGGACACUGCCACCGCAGGGGGACACGGGGACACAGGGACAGGGCACUUUGAUGUCCUGGGUUAGGGCGACAAAGGGACUUUGGGGACAAACAGGAGGCAGAGGGACACAGAGACGCUGCGGGACACAGGGGAAGGACAGAGGGAGCCCUGAGGUGCCACCAGCUGGUGACACAGAGCCCCGAGGAGCCCAGAGCAGGGGGACAAAGGGACUCUGGGGACACCGACAGGGGACGGACGCCCCGUGAGUGACCCCUUGACCGCACCCUGCACCCCUCGGGGUGGCCGCGGCCACUCUGGGGGUACCCAGGGCCACCGCCCCGAGCCGGGGAUGCCAACCCCAGGGGGACAAAGGGACUCUGAGGAGGGGACAAAGGGACUUCGGGGACACAGACAGGGGAUGGACACCCCGUGAACAGCAGGGAGAGAACGGGAGAGAACGGGAGUGACCCCUUGACCUCGGGGUGGCCGUGGCCACUUUGGGGGUACCCAGGGCCACCGCCCCGAGCCAGUUCCUCACGUCCAGGGGGGACAAAGGGACUUCGAGGAGGGACCAGAGGGACUUUGGGAUUUGUCCAGGUGGGGAUGCCAACCCCGGGGGCACAAAGGGAUUUGAGGAGGGGCACAGAGGGAAACGAUCCCGGGAUUGAUCCUGGGAUUGAUCCUGGGAGGGAAACCCGGAUCCCUCGAGGGGGAAACGAUCCCGGGAUUGAUCCUGGGAUUGAUCCUGGGAGGGAAACCCGGAUCCCUCGAGGGGGAGACGAUCCCAGGGUUGAUCCUGAGGGGGAAAUCUGGUCCUGCAGGGGAGGAAACGAUCCCGGGAUUGAUCCUGGGAUUGAUCCUGGGAGGGAAACCCGGAUCCCUCGAGGGGGAGACGAUCCCAGGGUUGAUCCUGAGGGGGAAAUCUGGUCCUGCAGGGGAGGAAACGAUCCCGGGAUUGAUCCUGGGAUUGAUCCUGGGAGGGAAACCCGGAUCCCUCGAGGGGGAGACGAUCCCAGGGUUGAUCCUGAGGGGGAAAUCUGGUCCUGCAGGGGAGGAAACGAUCCCGGGAUUGAUCCUGGGAUUGAUCCUGGGAGGGAAACCCGGAUCCCUCGAGGGGGAGACGAUCCCAGGGUUGAUCCUGAGGGGGAAAUCUGGUCCUGCAGGGGAGGAAACGAUCCCGGGAUUGAUCCUGGGAUUGAUCCUGGGAGGGAAACCCGGAUCCCUCGAGGGGGAGACGAUCCCAGGGUUGAUCCUGAGGGGGAAAUCUGGUCCUGCAGGGGAGGAAACGAUCCCGGGAUUGAUCCUGGGAUUGAUCCUGGGAGGGAAACCCGGAUCCCUCGAGGGGGAGACGAUCCCAGGGUUGAUCCUGAGGGGGAAAUCUGGUCCUGCAGGGGAGGAAACGAUCCCGGGAUUGAUCCUGGGAUUGAUCCUGGGAGGGAAACCCGGAUCCCUCGAGGGGGAGACGAUCCCAGGGUUGAUCCUGAGGGGGAAAUCUGGUCCUGCAGGGGAGGAAACGAUCCCGGGAUUGAUCCUGGGAUUGAUCCUGGGAGGGAAACCCGGAUCCCUCGAGGGGGAGACGAUCCCAGGGUUGAUCCUGAGGGGGAAAUCUGGUCCUGCAGGGGAGGAAACGAUCCCGGGAUUGAUCCUGGGAUUGAUCCUGGGAGGGAAACCCGGAUCCCUCGAGGGGGAGACGAUCCCAGGGUUGAUCCUGAGGGGGAAAUCUGGUCCUGCAGGGGAGGAAACGAUCCCGGGAUUGAUCCUGGGAUUGAUCCUGGGAGGGAAACCCGGAUCCCUCGAGGGGGAGACGAUCCCAGGGUUGAUCCUGAGGGGGAAAUCUGGUCCUGCAGGGGAGGAAACGAUCCCGGGAUUGAUCCUGGGAUUGAUCCUGGGAGGGAAACCCGGAUCCCUCGAGGGGGAGACGAUCCCAGGGUUGAUCCUGAGGGGGAAAUCUGGUCCUGCAGGGGAGGAAACGAUCCCGGGAUUGAUCCUGGGAUUGAUCCUGGGAGGGAAACCCGGAUCCCUCGAGGGGGAGACGAUCCCAGGGUUGAUCCUGAGGGGGAAAUCUGGUCCUGCAGGGGAGGAAACGAUCCCGGGAUUGAUCCUGGGAUUGAUCCUGGGAGGGAAACCCGGAUCCCUCGAGGGGGAGACGAUCCCAGGGUUGAUCCUGAGGGGGAAAUCUGGUCCUGCAGGGGAGGAAACGAUCCCGGGAUUGAUCCUGGGAUUGAUCCUGGGAGGGAAACCCGGAUCCCUCGAGGGGGAGACGAUCCCAGGGUUGAUCCUGAGGGGGAAAUCUGGUCCUGCAGGGGAGGAAACGAUCCCGGGAUUGAUCCUGGGAUUGAUCCUGGGAGGGAAACCCGGAUCCCUCGAGGGGGAGACGAUCCCAGGGUUGAUCCUGAGGGGGAAAUCUGGUCCUGCAGGGGAGGAAACGAUCCCGGGAUUGAUCCUGGGAUUGAUCCUGGGAGGGAAACCCGGAUCCCUCGAGGGGGAGACGAUCCCAGGGUUGAUCCUGAGGGGGAAAUCUGGUCCUGCAGGGGAGGAAACGAUCCCGGGAUUGAUCCUGGGAUUGAUCCUGGGAGGGAAACCCGGAUCCCUCGAGGGGGAGACGAUCCCAGGGUUGAUCCUGAGGGGGAAAUCUGGUCCCGCAGGGGAGGAAACGAUCCUGGGAUCGACCCUGGGAUUGAUCCUGGGGGGGAAAUCCGGAUCCCUCGAGGGGGAAACGAUCCUGGGAUCGACCCUGGGAGGGAAAUCUGGU